rnacentral:piRNA from 1 species
UUCGCCGUCACAAGAUGGCGCUGA